GCAGUGGUGUUUCAGCGGUAGAAUUCUCCCCUUCCAUGCAGGAGGCCCAGGUUCGAUUCCCGGCCAGUGCA
rnacentral:tRNA from 1 species